AAUAGAUACCCAGGUAGUCCACGCCCUAAACGAUGUCAACUAGCUGUUGGGGUCUUCGGACCUUGGUAGCGCAGCUAACGCGUGAAGUUGACCGCCUGGGGAGUACGGUCGCAAGAUUAAAACUCAAAGGAAUUGACGGGGACCCGCACAAGCGGUGGAUGAUGUGGAUUAAUUCGAUGCAACGCGAAAAACCUUACCUACCCUUGACAUGUCUGGAAUCCUGAAGAGAUUUGGGAGUGCUCGCAAGAGAACCGGAACACAGGUGCUGCAUGGCUGUCGUCAGCUCGUGUCGUGAGAUGUUGGGUUAAGUCCCGCAACGAGCGCAACCCUUGUCAUUAGUUGCUACGAAAGGGCACUCUAAUGAGACUGCCGGUGACAAACCGGAGGAAGGUGGGGAUGACGUCAAGUCCUCAUGGCCCUUAUGGGUAGGGCUUCACACGUCAUACAAUGGUCGGGACAGAGGGUCGCCAACCCGCGAGGGGGAGCCAAUCCCAGAAACCCGAUCGUAGUCCGGAUCGCAGUCUGCAA
rnacentral:rRNA from 1 species